rnacentral:lncRNA from 1 species
GCUGAUAUGUUGCUGACUUAACAUCAAGUUAGAGAGCAAUGAAGGUUGAGCUGGAAUGAGAGCCACUGGAACUCUGGAAGAGAAAGGGAGAAAGACUGCAGUUCUCGUAAAGUUUGUGAAGCAACUAGAUUUGUCUGUAUAGUUUUAAUGGAUGCAGAUAAUUUGUUUUUAAAGAGCAUCAAAGUUCACUUACGUCCAUCUUAAGGAGUUGGUUUUAGCAUGGAAAGAGAAUCAAAGGAGGUAAUAUUAUCUUUACAUUCACUUCAGAAGUGGGAUGAAAAAGGAAGUUGUUCCACUUCUCUUCAUUACUUUCC